AUACGGAGGGUCCAAGCGUUAUCCGGAUUCAUUGGGUUUAAAGGGUGCGCAGGCGGGCUUGUAAGUCAGUGGUGAAAUACUGCCGCUUAACGGUAGAACUGCCAUUGAUAUUGCAAGUCUUGAAUAUGGUUGAGGUAGGCGGAAUGUGUUGUGUAGCGGUGAAAUGCAUAGAUAUGACACAGAACGCCAAUUGCGAAGGCAGCUUACUAAGCCAUUAUUGACGCUGAGGCACGAAAGCGUGGGGAGCGAACAGGAUUAGAUACCCUAGUAGUCC
rnacentral:rRNA from 1 species